UUAAACUACAUCUCCCAUGACCACCGUGGCCCGCGGGGGCCUCGGCAGCGGCGAUGGCGAGGCUGGCAGGGACCGCCUACGCGGCUGGCACCCCUCGGGCUCUGGGGUGAUGCACGGACUCCUUCCAGAGGGGGCACGGGACGACCCCAGCCCCACAUCACCACCAGGCCCCACCUUCUCCGCGCCCGGCGGCUAAAAAUACACCCCACAGAUUUGCACCAGAGGCACAAGGAGAAUUUGACACACUUGCUGCAAAGAGGUUUUCAUGCCCCGAACGUGAAACCACCAGGACUGGCUGAAGGACACUCUGUGCCCAGGGACUGGGGAGCUGAGACCUGAAAUGGAAUUUCACUAGAGAUCCUACCAACAUUAAAUACUCUGUGAAGCCUCAGGAGCUCCUGAGAUGAUGGAUGACAUCAAGAGCCAAAAGAACAUGUACAAAGCAUCUGCAGAAAGAGAUCCUUAAUGACUGUGUGAAGUCUGUUGAUUUGUUGCCAGGAAGUCUCUGGGACCAGCAGAGAACGUGGUGACAGUGUUUACAUACAUGUCCCUUACUAAUGAUGUCCAAAGGUGGCCAGAUUACCUCUGCAGAUGAGCUCCAGGUAUUACAUUUUAACAGUUCUUCCCCUGGUGCUGGAACUACGUGAUCAGCAGCUUGCUUUAUUGGUGGGAACAAGGAGGCUUCUUAUGUUGGAAAAUGAAACUUUUACCAGCAAAUCACCAGCAAAUGAACCCAAAAUACUGCUGUAACCAUUGUGUUUCAUCACUUCUUUGGUUUCUGAGUGCAGGAUGGGAGGCAGCACCCCCAGUGCUCACCUGGAUCCUGAUCAUUGAGAUAAUGUCGCACUGGAGAGAGCAGUGAGGAAUACAUUUGGGACCACUGGUGUUGGGCUCACUGUUCUUAAAGAGUUUUUUUUACUUUCAAUACAGAAGGAAAGUCUUUAUUUAUCCACAGCUGUUGUGUGCCUGCUCACAUGGAGCAGGCAGGCAGCAACACACAGGAUGGGGCCACCCCUUCUGGCCACUGGUCCUGUGUUUGUGGCAGCCCCAGGACAAUGGCAUCACAGUACAGCUCUGGAUCAAAAAUCUGAAUGGCACUUUUUCCAAAUUUGGAUUAGGGAAGCUGUGAUUUAGCAGUUGCUGAGUCUCAGAAAAUACUGUGUUCUGGCUCAGCCAAGGCUUGGAGCCUUUCUGCAUUCCAGGAUAAUUUGAUUUGAGAGUCCAAGGGCUGUCAAUCUCUCAGGUUUCAGAGAAACCCAGCACAUGAGCCAAACAGGUGAUCCUGGGGGAAGCCAUGCUGAUCCCAACCUGCCUGCUUUUGCUAAAGUCAGCGUCAGACCAGCUCUGCUGACUGUUUUGACAAAGUGCCAGACCCUGCCCUGAACAUCUGAGCUUUCCCAGGCUGAGCUCUCCCUUCAGUGUGGUUCAGUCUUAAGUACACCAACACACUUGAAGCCUUAGAGCAGAAAAGGUGUUGGAGAACCCCCAUCCCAGCCAGCACAUUCAGGAAAGGCAGCAGGCCUUGGAGGUACUCAGCAAAGUUCUGUCAAAUCACAUGAGCCAUUUAUUAUCUGUAUUUCAGCAACACCCACAGGCCUCAGGCAGCGACCUGCACUGUGCCUGUACAACAACAUCCAAAUAUAGAGCAAGACAUCAGCACAGCCACAAAGCUUCACUCACUCCGGAGCACUGCCCCCUUCCCUGCCCUGACAAAAGUCCCUCCAACCCCCAACUGGUGAGAAGCUGCUCUUGCUUUUACCAGAAAUAACAUAUUAUAAGGUGUUUGGUUUUCCUCAAUGUUUUUAGCAGUGUGACAGAUCCACCAGUUCUAGAAAGGCAGGAGGGAAAUCAUCUGCCAGAGCUGCUCAGGUUCCAGGCUUGAGGAAUAUUUAAGCAUAUGCUCAAACUCCCUUGCCUCUGGUUGAAGCAAAGCACGUGUUUAAACGCUUUGCUGAGCAGAGGUGGACUUAAGGACAUACCUUGCUGUAGGCAUGUGCUUAACUACUUUGUAAAAUUAAACUGAAGAUAAUCAAGUGCUUUUGCUGAAUCAGGCCCAAGUGCUCUGCAAACCCCCAUCCUCUUAAGCAAGGCAGCUUUCAGCAACAUUUAAUUUGAGAACACACUCAGAAAGUACCAUUAAAAAAAAAAUGUUAAAGAGCCAAGAGCCUUUAGAGAGUGGAAAUAAAUAACUAAAAAGAUAUCUAAGGAAAUCAUUAAACUGCACAAAUCAUCACUGGGCUUUAAAAAAAGAAACUUUGCCUUGUGCCAGUUCAGCAUUUGCACAUAGACAAGAGAUGCUUCAGCUGCAGGGACCUGAAUUGUGUCGGAAUUUCCCCCCAGCUCAUGCCACCAACGCUGCUACCAAGCCAGGCGGGCUCAGCCUCACACAUUUUCUCCUGAGCCCAGCCCCAAAGGAGGUUGUUUUGGAGACAGUGGGAGAAACCCUGCUGGCAGCAGACACACUGUGGGCCAGGCUGUGUGUGUGUCCCCAGGUGCUGAGGGUUCCAUCCAGGAGAAGUCCCUGAUAAAACAUUGCUGCUCUCAGCCACGAGCACCCCGUGUAUAAAUAGCCUCACAUUCCCUUUCUCCCUGACCUUCAUGUCUCAGCCCUGCCAAACCAGUUCUGUGCAAAUCCAAACUUAUCACAGUCACACCUCUGUCCCAGACAGGCAUCCCUGGGGGUUUUGGGCUUCCAUCCCAGCUUGGCAUGGUGGUGAUGUCCCCUACAUAGGGAACCAGCCCCUGCAAUGACAACAUGGCAGAGUUGUCCCCAGAUGACCACAGCUCAAUUGGAUUUGGCAUCAGUGCCUUUGGGAUGGCUUGCCAGGAGAUUUUUCAUUGAAAAAGGAGGGGUUUCAUGGAAAAGGUUGAUAAAGGGGUUUGCACAUUCUCAGAUGUCUUAAUACAAGCCAGCAAAGUUUGGGUGGAAAUGGAAUGGUAGGUAGAAAUUACGUUAGAAAUUAAAUGUAGCUGUGCUUUGCAAACCUUUUCCUUUCUUUAAGUGUGCCAUUUGAAUGCAAAUCUCACUGCAGAUAGAAUUGUUGAAGCUCAUAUAACAGAGAUCUGUCCUCUCCCCCUCCCCAGACUUUCAAGAGAUUUCCUGGUUAGACUUAGACUUGCAAAUCAUAGGCCAGACUGGCAGUGUUUCUAGUCAGCUUGGGUUGAUUUGGAGCUUGGGUACAUAAACUCAGUGACCUGAAACAAGAGGAAACAUUCCUGCCUUGGUCCCAACCUAAAGCUACUGACCUGGCCAUGGAGCAUUGGAUCAAACUCACCCUGAAUAUGCAUCCAGAGCAUCCCAAAAAACAGCCCCCUAGCCAAACACCUUCCUGAACACACACAGCCUAGCUGUUCAGCUAAUUUAAAAAUGCUUCCAAAAGUCAAUAUAUAGGAUACUGAAACAAACUAUGAAACUUCCCAUCAAAAAACCUCCUUUGCUUUCCCUUUUGUCCUUAGUACCAAAGCACUGUCCCGAAACCCCAGUGAGGACAAACUCAGCUGUCGAUGUGCCAUGGGCACCUCUGCAGUUCCCAGGAGGGGUAACUGUCACUGUUGGAAAUGCAGAGGUGCCCAUGAUGAAAAUAUUUCUUGGGAUGAGCUGGGAUUCCCUCUGAGAUCCCAAAUAACACAGGCAGUGUCACUGUUUAAAACGUUGCUACAAGUCUUUCCACUUUCUCCCCAUGCCCACUGCCAUUUGCACACAAGGACUAGCAAGAAUAGAUAAUACAGCAGAACAACAAACUUUUCCCUUCUUUUCUGCUGGAAUUAAUUUCCAAUGAAUUGGCAUUAUAAAUUUCUUGAUAGCAAAGCCUAAAAUAAAUAUGUCUUCAGUAUGGCCUCAGUGCAAUCUAAUAGCAUUGUAAAUCUAUCAAAAACCACAAAAACUGUCACUUGUAAUUUUCUGUGUUCACAGGAAAAAAAAUUAUAUAGUAAGAUAAACUGAACCAUUCUCUUUGAACUUUCCCUUUGUUUGAGUUAAGCACUCUGGAAGCCACCAAGUUAAUCACACUGCAAAACCCAUCAGGUUUGAAAGCUUAGAUAUAGAUUUUUUUUUAAUGAGCAAGUGUUCCUUGUGAUAACUUGAAUUAUACUUUCUGAAUGGUGGGAAAAUACACAAUUGUGUCACAUCCCUCCAAACUAAACACACUAUUCACAAAACACAAUUAAAAUUAAAAAAAAAAAUUCUUCUUUGCUUCUGUACUGGAGAACUUCAUUUGGGGAUUAUAAAUCCUUUUGAAAUGUUCUUUUUUAAUGAUGUCACUCCUAUUCAUGUUCCUUUUACAGCAUUUUCUGAAUUGUUUUCAGUGUUUGGGUCUGGUUAUUUGACUUGAAAAUGUAUUUUCCCCCUUCUAGAGUAACACUAGAUCUAAAACCCUUUCUGUUCUAAUGUUAUGAAGUAGGUGCAUUUGAGAUUGCAGCUUCUGAUGCAAUUAAUCAUCUUGUUUCAUUUCCAAGGAUAAAUGCUGCAGUAAAUAACUCCUUUCCAUGGACUGGCAAGUCUUGGGGGAGUUGCAGGUUUCUGCUCUCUAGUCCUGCCUGCACAAUCCAAGGCCCAGCACCACAAAACCAGCCUCACAUCCCCUGAGCUGUGCAGGAGGAGACCACAACAGUGAACAGCAAUGCCUGGUGAGCUACUGGACACACAGGAUCCCUGCUCCUCCUGAGAGGCUUCUAAAAAGAAAGGACUUGCAGGUCAAGGCUGCAGCCAAAAGGAGUAGCAGCACAUCCUAGAGGAGCAUCCCUUCUGCUUGGAUUCAGGCAAAACAGUGAGAUAAGGAGUUCAUCUGUAAUCAAUGAUCCCAAGGCUACACAAUUACAUCAUAAUUAGAGAAAUAAUUAUUCCCAUUUAGGUAGGAAGAGGGAGGAAAGAGUGUUAGCAAGCCCACAUAUACACAAAUUUACCUUAGCCUAAGUAAUGAGUAUUUUCAAACCAAAUUUAGUUAAACUGCCUUUGUUUUUGUUGGAUGAUGCUUCUGUAUCGACUUGGCUUUAUCUUUAAUCAUUUCUGCAUUGAGUAGAGCUUCUACACAAGAAAAGCCAGUGGAACAAGCUGUGACACCAAGGUAUUUUCUUCACCUUAAUUAAGGGCUUUCAAACCUCCCCCUUGUGCAAGCCCUGCUCUUGCAUUUGCUGCAGUUGACCCUGUCUGAUCAUCUGCAGCUUGUUAGAGGUGAUAACCUGAGUAUCCAGGCACUCUGAUAGCACUAGAUCAAGAUACUAUAAAGAUCAAUAAGAAUAAGCAAUUGUAGCAACUCUGAUCCCAGUGCAGAUCAGGUCAGCAGAUGUGCUCUGCUCCUAGAUGUAUAUAAUAGACACUGCUUUAGAAAGAUGUGCAUUGUCUGACACAAACAGCAGCCACACUCUGUCCCUUCACCUUUCCUGCUGAAUUAGCUUUGCCAUCAUUUCUGAAUUGCAAACAUGUUCCAGCAAUUAACAUCUUCAGUAUACAACAAAUCAAAUCUACACUAGAUGAAAAUAUUUAUAGUCACAUUAAUUGGAAAGAUCUCUGAAUUUUUAUAAGAAUGCUCUAACAGAGCUGUUUGUGUGAGGUUAUUGUUAUCCCCAGGGAAUAUUCCCCUGAUGCUCGAGGAUGCUCUUAGGUAUUUAGCCACUUUUGGGUGAUGUUUAUUUUGUGCAAGUCACAGCCUCAGUUCCAGACCAUGAGCUGUACAAUGAUGUAUUUAGAUCCAUCUCUAGCAACUGCAUGAGACCUAAAAUAUUCUUUUUCUUCUUUCCUAACUGCUCAACUCUUUGUAACAUCAUCAAUCACAGAACCUUCUUUCCCCAUGCUUGCACAGGGCUAUGCAGGUGGGGACUGCAUCGUCUCUAUUGUACAAAACAAAAGAAGAUUUUCUGCAAUUUUUGAGUUUUCAUGGGAGCCAGUGGGAGUUAAACAUCCAGCUUGAAAAAUGUAUUUGAACUCAGGCAGGUCUGGCAGAUCUUCAAUUGGAUCCUGACCUACUCACAGAUAUUUUUUUCUGCCUAGUCUCACAUGCAACCAUAUUUUCUAGGUACACUUAUCUACCUGUCACAUACAACAAUGUACAGCCCUGAAGAAAACAAAGCAGGUGAUUAUCUUUCCCCAGUCAAAUGCAGUGGAAAGGUCAGAUUUAAUUUGAAGCUGAGGGGCAAUGAAAUGAUAGAGAAAAUGUACAAAAAUAGAGUGUAGCUGUUCUGGGAGGGAAGCGAGUCUGCUCAUCCCUGUGGAACAGCCAGCAGCACAGACACACCAUUCAUCCCUUCUCUUUAUUGCUCCCUGGUCUUUGAUUUGGGACUUGGCUCCAUUAUCAUGGAAGAUACAUUUUUGGGAAGAUGUGAAUUGGGCAGGUGAAUCAUUUCCUUCUGCAUGGCCUUCAGCCAGAGCCACUGACACUGAGCACCCACCAGCUCCUGGAGUAUCCCCAAGGAAAUUGGAUUGUUCCAGGCUUUUAAGAUGGAGAAGAUAUUUUUCCUCAAUCCCACCCUUCCAAUGGCUGGCAAGGUGCUACAUGUUAUAUACACAGUCUUGCAGUUACUUAUUUUAAUCUUGGUAAUGCCCUUGAGCAUUGCUGGACUCCUACAAAAUCAGCACCUAAAUGGAAAUAAAUUCACAAUGCUGCAGCUCCCUGCAUUCAGAGCAAUUCAGUAUGUCCCAUGUCCUAAAUGCAACUGGGUGUUUCACAACCUCUGUAUUUAAAUUAGGUUUUUCCAUGCACAUUUUUUCCCUCUUAGUCCUGCCUAAAACCCAGAGCAAAUUUCAAGGAGAAAUUUUUCUUGGACCACUCACUAGGGCUUGACACAUCCAAAGCACUUAGACUGAAGACCAGCUGCAGAAAACAGAAGUUUCACAGUUUCAUUGUUGAAAACAAGCUCCUGCUUUUACUCUUCCUGGUAAUUUUGAGCUCAGGAUUCCAAGUGCCCUUCUGCACUCAGAAGACCUGUUUGGAUGGAUGAAUGCCUUGAAGGUUAUGGGUAAGAGCUCAAACCUGGAAGUGGUUAUUCUCAAAGCUGAGAAAGGAAAAUUCCCAAAGGUCUCUAUGAUAAGUUGAUAAGAAAUAAUGGAGACUUGUUUCAUUUAAACACAAAGAACAAUUCAGCCAUAUCAUGGCUUAUGGUAGAGACAUUAAAAGUUAGACAGAGACAUUGAAAGUUAUCAGAUGAAUGUCUGCAUGCUUUAUCUUUUUAAUAAUGCAGAGAAAUGUAACAGUUUUCUGUCCAUGAUGAAGCCUGGGAUUCCUGGAAGGGUACCCUGCCUUGCUGCUUCUUCAUGUUCCCCAUGUCUGCCUCUGCCUUUCAAAUGAGUGCCACCAAUCCCAGUCUAAUGGCAAUGUUUUAAAUAACUACUUCUUUCCUAGGAAGUCAAAAAAAGCCCACUUAAAAGUGAACUCUGUGCAUGUGCCAAAUAUUUAGAGAGUAAAUCUCAAACCCAGGAGUGAUCUGCUUCCUUCAUCUGCAGACCCUGGAUGUGAUGCAGAUACCGUCACUCCCAGCAUCUAUUGCAGGCCAGUGGUGUGAGCUCAUGAGGGGAACUAAAAAAAUUAUAUCUAGAAUGAAAAAUAGAUCCAGAAAACACCACCAAUAGCUAAUUCUGGCCAGCUAAAAAAUCAGUAUAUCAUCUAAACUAGUCACCUAGACCUUUCCUGUUGGAAGUUUGCUUUCCUCACAAGGUCCCUUUGAGACACCCCCUCCAUCUGAAAUAUAGCACCACUGACUGAAGGACUGGUUUCAAACCUCUUUAGGACCCAUAUGAAGAGUCUAUACCCCACAGCAAGUUUGGCAAUCAGCACUUUAAAAAAUAAACUCAGCUCCGGAAUGAUGAUUUGCAUAGUGCAUGGUGACUAAAAUUAGCCUGCCUCAACUCCAUCUCAGGAGGAAGUCUGAGUUGCUGCUGCAGUUUCAGGUUUCUUGGCUUUCAGAAAAAUUCAUAGCAUCUGAGGAACACAGAUGUGUCUUCUGUGCAGCCCUGCUCCUCUUGGCUGGCACUUCUCUCCCAAGCUGCAUCUCAAAGCUGUCCUACGGCACCAGCAAACCUUGUCCUUCCUCUCAUAGGAAACCAGAAUGUGCUGAAACCUCUGAAAGCCUUUAUUCAGUAUGAAGGUGUUUGGGAGAUUAAUUAGUAAAGAGAGAAUGCACUGCAGGUCACAAAUGGUCUGUCCUGGGUGUAGGAAGGGUAAAACCUCCUUGAGAGCUAUUUACCACAAGACAGAGGUUUCUCCAAGCAGAGGUGUGCUGGAAGGUGCUCUGCAGGAGACAUUCACCAUGUAAAGUUGGGUUAGGACUUGUAGUUUAACCUUCAUUAGCUGCUGGAUGGAGGUGAGGUCUCCAACUUGAUUCUCAGCUAUUGCCCCAUAAUAUCAGUGCAUAAGAGCUUGUGUUUCUCUGUCAUAAUUUAAUAUUGUGAUUUGGCUAACCAGAGAGUCACACACUCCCUUGGUCUCAUUUUAUACUGCAGAUGAACAGAUCCAUAGGAGGUCAUGCUAGUCUACCACAGAUGUCCCUAUUGAGCUUAAAUUAUUCAAAAAGUCAGUCAUCAGCUAAGUGCUAAACGGUUGCAGCUUUUUUGGGUUGGCUUUUUUGGGUUUUUUUCAGCUUGAGAUGUGGCUAUAGCUUUUCUCCCCAAGAUGCAUAAAUAACUCAUGCAGUUAUGAAGCAGGAUCACUCAGGACCCGUGUGAAGAGUGCUGCUGGCUCAGAUCCCACAUCACCCACUGAACAAAUCCAGCUCAGCUCCCUUCCUUCAUCCACCCUCCACCCCAGGUCAGGCCAUGAGCCCUCAGGUCACAUUUCACAGUUUUGGUUCCUCUAUCCCUGCAAGGUCCCAGGCACCUUUGAAUCCAAGAUCACAAGUACCAGAGUUUUGUAGCUUAAUAUUUGUAGUAAAUCUGUACAAAAUUAACUUGCUGUAGCAACAAUCCAGUCAAGUACUUGUUUUAAUAUUUUAUAUGAACACAGGCCAGCAGCUAAUUUAAUUUUCUGCUGUGUUGUAGAAUUGAAAGGUGAUGAUUCACCCUUAAAAAUACAUUUUAAAUUUAGUAAUGACUCUGUCUACAGUAUAUAUCUUAUGGAGGGAGCCCAGAGUAAAAGCUCAGUGAUGUGCAGAAUCCUGGCUAGAUACAAUCAGGAAGAGAGCAGUCCUGUGACAUGAAAUGCAAUGAUACACUGAACUUCUGACCUGUAGGAGAAAUCUGAUCCCACCUUCUUCUUCAUUUCAGCUGUGUUCAGAAAAACAAAAGUCUUCAUUCAGCAUUCAAUUUUCUUCACCCUUCACCACUGGAAUUUUUAUAUGAGCUGAAUUAAAUAUGCCAGACUUCAAAGGUAAAUGUCCUCAGUGGCUCAGUGAUAUCCAUGGUGUCUUUCUGAUAACCAUUGUCAUUAAGCCUCAUUCUGUUCUGAUGAGGCCCUGCAGGAAAGUGAGGUGCUCCUGUGUCCAGCUUCACUGCUUAAGCAGAAUAAAACACUGACUGUAAUA